CCUACGGGCGGCUGCAGUGAGGAAUAUUGGUCAAUGGGCGAGAGCCUGAACCAGCCAAGUCGCGUGAGGGAGUACUGCCCUAUGGGUUGUAAACCUCUUUUGUCGGGGAGCAAAAGCCGGACGUGUCCGGCUGUGAGAGUACCCGAAGAAAAAGCAUCGGCUAACUCCGCGCCAGCAGCCGCGGUAAUACGGGGGAUGCGAGCGGUAUCCGGAUUUAUUGGGUUUAAAGGGUGCGCAGGCGGAUUUUUAUGUCAGCGGUAAAAUCGUGGGGCUCAACCCCAUCCAGCCGUUGAAACUGGGGAUCUAGAGUGUGCGAGAGGUAUGCGGAAUGCGUGGUGUAGCGGUGAAAUGCAUAGAUAUCACGCAGAACCCCGAUUGCGAAGGCAGCAUACCGGUGCACAACUGACGCUCAGGCACGAAAGCGUGGGUAUCGAACAGGAUUAGAUACCCUUGUAGUC
rnacentral:rRNA from 1 species